rnacentral:rRNA from 1 species
UGGCGGACGGGUGAGUAAUGUCUGGGGAACUGCCUGAUGGAGGGGGAUAACUACUGGAAACGGUAGCUAAUACCGCAUAACGUCGCAAGACCAAAGAGGGGGACCUUCGGGCCUCUUGCCGUCGGAUGUGCCCAGAUGGGAUUAGCUAGUAGGUGGGGUAACGGCUCACCUAGGCGACGAUCCCUAGCUGGUCUGAGAGGAUGACCAGCCACACUGGAACUGAGACACGGUCCAGACUCCUACGGGAGGCAGCAUG